UACAGAGGUCCCAAGCGUGUUCGGAUUCAUUGGGCGUAAAGGGUGCGUAGGCGGCGCGGUAAGUCGGGGUGUGAAAUCUCGGAGCUUAACUCUGAAACUGCAUUCGAUACUGCCGUGCUUGAGGACUGGAGAGGAGACUGGAAUUCAUGGUGUAGCAGUGAAAUGCGUAGAGAUCAUGAGGAAGACCAGUGGCGAAGGCGGGUCUCUGGACAGUUCCUGACACUGAGACACGAAGGCCAGGGGGAGCAAACGGGGAUUAGAGUACC
rnacentral:rRNA from 1 species